GUUGGGAGCCACUGGGCUAAAUGCCCGCCCCCAGUCUCGGCUGAACCCAGAAGCUUGGCAGGGGCGAGUCUGGUAAGUCCUGAGACGCUUUCACC
rnacentral:rRNA from 1 species